rnacentral:rRNA from 1 species
UCGAGAAUCUUCGGCAAUGUGCGAAAGCGUGACCGAGCGACGCCGCGUGUGGGAUGAAGGCCUUCGGGUUGUAAACCACUGUCAGUUGGGAGGAAAUCCCAUGGGGCUAUCCCCUUGGGUUGACCUAUCUUCAGAGGAAGGCCGGGCUAAGUUCGUGCCAGCAGCCGCGGUAAGACGAACCGGCCAAACGUUAUUCGGAAUCAUUGGGCUUAAAGGGUGCGUAGGCGGCGCGGUCAGUUGGGUGUGAAAUCCCUCGGCUCAACCGAGGAACUGCGCCCAAUACUGCCGUGCUCGAGGGAGACAGAGGCGAGCGGAACUGAUGGUGGAGCGGUGAAAUGCGUUGAUAUCAUCAGGAACACCAGUGGCGAAAGCGGCUCGCUGGGUCUCUUCUGACGCUGAGGCACGAAAGCUAGGGUAGCGAACAGG